CCGGCCAAAAUUGAUUGUCAAAAUAUUACAUAUUACAUAUAUCUAGACGCAUUUUACACAUCAAUACGUCUGUAUUUGGGCAAAUACGAGACUACCAGUCAGAGGAGGUACUGCAUUCAAGAUUAAAUUUAACAUGCAAUGGCCAUAUAAGUAAAUCGAGCAGAGGUAAGAAUAAACAUUCCAGAGAUGGACCCGAGCACAACAUUAGAUUACUAAACCAUUUCGACGUCUGGUAACACAGGCAAAUAGCAAAUAGUUUAGACAUUGCUCCGAAGUAAAAUUCUAGCAGCGGAUUCAACAAGUCUCAUAACGAAGGUAGCAAAAUUUGACAGUGCAAGCAAAUACUAUCAAGGUCUGCAUAGCACAGAUCCCACAGCAACAGAACAUCAAAGCACAUAUGCUUAACGGUAGCGGCGGAGGGAGACGGUCUGGUUGCGCUUCCAGGUAGCUCUCCUUGACGGCCUGUUCUUGUGGUGGCGUGUGCCCUUGCCGCGCAGACCACGGAACUUCUUGCCAGCAGAGGUGAGACCACGGAGCUCACGGU
rnacentral:lncRNA from 1 species